UGGCGGCGNGCCUAAUACAUGCAAGUCGAGCGAGAAGACGUAGCAAUACGUUUGUAAAGCGGCGAACGGGUGAGGAAUACNUGGGUAGCCUACCCUCGAGUGGGAAUAACUAACCGAAAGGUUAGCUAAUACCGCAUACGGCUCCUGGUCUGCGGAUCGGGAGAGAAAGCGAUACCGUGGGUAUCGCGCUCUUGGAUGGGCUCAUGUCCUAUCAGCUUGUUGGUGAGGUAACGGCUCACCAAGGCUUCGACGGGUAGCUGGUCUGAGAGGACGAUCAGCCACACUGGCACUGCGACACGGGCCAGACUCCUACGGGAGGCAGCAGUAAGGAAUAUUGCGCAAUGGGCGACAGCCUGACGCAGCGACGCCGCGUGGGGGAUGAAGGUCUUCGGAUUGUAAACCCC
rnacentral:rRNA from 1 species